rnacentral:lncRNA from 1 species
GCUGGCACUUUCAGUCCUCUACCUGGUCAGACUGGCUGCUUCCCCUGUGCAAGUUCCUCCUUCUCCCCACCAGGUGCCUCUCACUGCACAUGCCAGGGCCUGAACCGGGCUUUCCAGAAGUCUGAUGGCUCCUGCAUCUGCUUGGCUGGACAUGUAUCUUAUGACGAGAGAGGCCAGGAGAGCCACGACAGCAACAGCAACCAAGAUUGUCAGCCUCAGGUUGAAGAGAGAUGCUCAACAGGGGACAUCCGUCUAUCUGCCACCCGCAAGUGUGUGUCCCCCAUACAGCAUAAUUGUUCCUCCUUCUGCCACCCCGCAGGUGGGGAACUCAGUGCAGAACUGGGCAUCUGCCAGUGCCAAGAAUAUGUCUCUGCUGAAGAGCUCUGUGACACCCUGUGUCUUGCCAGGGCCCCUCAACUGUCUCUGAAGUGGGGCUCCAACAGGGAACUGUUCCUCACUGUUCAGGACCAGAAUGGAGGGAGGACUCAUAGGGUAAGAAGAUCCAGAACAAGGAAGGGCAGUAGGUGGGUGAGAUAGGAAGUUGCUAUAAGGUAAGAGGAGAGAAGAGCCAUUUGCCUCACG